UUCUGCUCUCUUUUGGAGCCUGUCCCUAGCGGCCAGUCGAUGAAUCGCAGUUUAAGUCACUUCCGUAUUGGCUUCACGAGAGACUGGGGGAGGUUGCCGCUUGGCAUUUACACAGUCAAGGCAGCAGCUGUUUACCCUGUUGCUUGGUAACAACAGCACAGUGAUCUUAUAAGAGCUAAUGUAGAUUUGGUCAUUGUUUCAGAGGAUACACAGAAUCACUUUCAUCCUGCUGGAUUCUCAUAAACUCUUACUGUUAGAUUUGUCAUGCCUAUGGUUUGAGUCAAAAUAAAUUACAAGUAUGAAUAAGUA